AAAAAUACACUGCCACUGGUAUUACAACAGAGACAUAACGACCAACUGUUGGAGGAUCACAGUAAAAGGGUUUGGUUUCCGCACUAGCCAGAGAGAGGUUUCUGCCGCAGAAUGUGUAUGAA